rnacentral:rRNA from 1 species
CAGGUUUAAUCAUGGCUCAGGAUAAACGCUGGCGGCGCACAUAAGACAUGCAAGUCGAACGGAAGUCGUUAUAAAAGGAGAGAAGAUUUAUCGGAUUGAAUUUUAUAACAAUGGCUUUAGUGGCGGACUGGUGAGUAACGCGUAAGGAACCUACCUAUUAGAGGGGAACAACAAUGAGAAAUCAUUGCUAAUACCGCAUAUGCCUUAUAACUACCGCAUGGUAGAAGUAGGAAAGGAGUAAUUCGCUGAUAGAUGG